AUGACAACCGUUGGAUAUGGCGAUCUCGUUCCUAAUAGUACUAUAGCGAAACUACUUGCUUGCCUUUAUGUCUACACUGGUAUGGCUCUUGGUGGCUUGAUUCUUAGCAAAGCAGCAGAUUACAUUGUUGAAAAACAGGAAGUUUAUCUUGUUAAAGCAAUAUGCAAAGCCGAGAAACUCGGUCUAGAAGAGGAACUGUUUUUCUGUAUUUUGUUGAGAAACUAG
rnacentral:lncRNA from 1 species